AUGUGCUUUUUUGGCUGGUAUUUUUUUUUUUUCUUUUUUUGUUUUUAUUGUUUGCUUGGUUUUGGGGGUUUUUUUGUUUUUUUUUUUUUUGGUAUGGACAUUCUCCAAAGAAGGAGUUUGAUAGGGGUGUUGACAAAUAAACCCAGGGAAAUGAGAUGUCCUGCCAUUCUUCCCCCCACAGCAGCUCUGUACCUGACUGAUGGCCUGGCAGGGGCUGCUGAUAAAUCCUGCUCCCCAGAAUAAGCAUCGCUCCUCUCCCUGAGAAAACUCUCUUAUCAGCGAUGGCUCCUCAGCGCCCUGCAGAUAAGAAGCCCAGGGGCCCCCAGGCUGCUCCCCCGUCCUUCAGCCAGAGCUGCUCCUGCUCCACAGCCCUGCAGGUGUGUGGGAAGCAACUCCACAAAUGCCUUUUUGCAUAGAAAUGAGAAGCUAUUUUAAAAUUAGAUUACUAUCAUAAAAAGCCUUGCUGCUGCUUCUCAUCUGUUCUACCUUUCCACUUACAUUCCUUUUAUUGCUGCUAAGCUUCUUACCAUGCCAACGUCUUUUAGGUGCGUGAUUAAAAGUAUUUUAAAAUUUCCAAGCUGUACUGAGUGAUAGCAAGUUGAAAAUAAUAAACUCUAAUUUGAAAAAUGAAAAGCA
rnacentral:lncRNA from 1 species